rnacentral:rRNA from 1 species
CCUACGGGAGGCUGCAGUAGGGAAUCUUCCACAAUGGACGAAAGUCUGAUGGAGCAACGCCGCGUGUGUGAUGAAGGGUUUCGGCUCGUAAAACACUGUUGUAAGAGAAGAAUAGCAUCAAGAGUAACUGCUUGGUGUGUGACGGUAUCUUACCAGAAAGGAACGGCUAAAUACGUGCCAGCAGCCGCGGUAAUACGUAUGUUCCAAGCGUUAUCCGGAUUUAUUGGGCGUAAAGCGAGCGCAGACGGUUUUUUAAGUCCGAAGUGAAAGCCCACAGCUUAACUGUGGAAGUGCUUUGGAAACUGGAUGACUUGAGUGCAGUAGAGGAGAGUGGAAUUCCAUGUGUAGCGGUGAAAUGCGUAGAUAUAUGGAGGAACACCAGUGGCGAAGGCGGCUCGCUGGACUGUAACUGACGUUGAGGCUCGAAAGUGUGGGUAGCAAACAGGAUUAGAUACCCCAGUAGUC